rnacentral:tRNA from 1 species
GCGGCUGUGGCGGAACUGGUAGACGCGCAGCGUUGAGGUCGCUGUGGGGUAACUCCCGUGGAAGUUCGAGUCUUCUCAGCCGCACCA